GGGGGUGUAGCUCAGGGUAAAGCACUUGCCUACCAUGCACAAUGUCCUGGGUUUGAUUCUUAGCACUGCCC
rnacentral:tRNA from 1 species